GCGGACAUGGCGGAACUGGCAGACGCGUUGGAUUUAGGAUCCAAUGCCGCAAGGCGUGGAGGUUCGAACCCUCUUGUCCGCACCA
rnacentral:tRNA from 1 species